rnacentral:rRNA from 1 species
UACGUAGGGUGCGAGCGUUAAUCGGAAUUACUGGGCGUAAAGCGUGCGCAGGCGGUUUUGUAAGCCAGAUGUGAAAUCCCCGGGCUUAACCUGGGAAUGGCAUUUGGGACUGCAAGGCUCGAGUGCGGCAGAGGAGACUGGAAUUCCUGGUGUAGCAGUGAAAUGCGUAGAUAUCAGGAGGAACACCGAUGGCGAAGGCAGGUCUCUGGGCUGACACUGACGCUCAUGCACGAAAGCGUGGGGAGCAAACGGG